rnacentral:misc_RNA from 1 species
GAUGAAGAACGCAGCGAAAUGCGAUAAGUAGUGUGAAUUGCAGAAUUUAGUGAAUCAUCGAAUCUUUGAACGCACAUUGCGCCCUAUAGUAUUCUGUAGGGCAUGCCUGUUCGAGCGUUAUUGAGACCUCAAGCUCUGCUUGGAAAUGGGCGCUUGUCUUGCCUUGCAGACUCGCCUUAAAACCAUUGGCAGCUGAUUUACAAUGUUUGGUGCACAGUACAUGAGCCCAAGUGUUGCAAUGAGUGGCCCAAAAGUAUACAAUAGAAGCUUAACCUCGGAUCAGGUAGGGAUACCCGCUGAACUUAAGCAUAUCAAUAAGCGGGGA